rnacentral:rRNA from 1 species
CGAACGCUGGCGGCAGGCCUAACACAUGCAAGUCGAACGAUAAGCCACCUUCGGGUGGUGGACAGUGGCAGACGGGUGAGUAACGCGUGGGAACGUGCCUUUCGGUUCGGAAUAACCCAGGGAAACUUGGGCUAAUACCGGAUACGCCCUUCGGGGGAAAGAUUCAUUGCCGAAAGAUCGGCCCGCGUCGGAUUAGCUAGUUGGUGGGGUAAUGGCUCACCAAGGCGACGAUCCGUAGCUGGUCUGAGAGGAUGACCAGCCACACUGGGACUGAGACACGGCCCAGACUCCUACGGGAGGCAGCAGUGGGGAAUAUUGGACAAUGGGCGCAAGCCUGAUCCAGCCAUGCCGCGUGGGUGAAGAAGGCCUUAGGGUUGUAAACCCCUUUCAGCGGGGAAGAUAAUGACGGUACCCGCAGAAGAAGUCCCGGCUAACUCCGU